UUUCCGUAGGUGAACCUGCGGAAGGAUCAUUAUUGAAUGAAACACUUCUGGCUUUAUGCUGUUGUGCUGGCCCUUUAGGCAAUGUGCACAGGGCUCUGGUCACUUGUUUCUUCUGUUCCACCUGUGCACUGCCUGUAGACACGCUGUGUCUAUGAUAUUUGUUAACACACAACAAUGUUAGUUGGCAUGUUAUAUAUAAUAAUAAAAUAUACAACUUUCAACAACGGAUCUCUUGGCUCUC
rnacentral:misc_RNA from 1 species